UACGUAGGGGCCUAGCGUUGUCCGGAUUUAUUGGGCGUAAAGAGCUCGUAGGCGGUUCGUCGCGUCGGCUGUGAAAACCCGGAGCUCAACUCCGGGCCUGCAGUCGAUACGGGCGGACUAGAGUUCGGCAGGGGAGACUGGAAUUCCUGGUGUAGCGGUGAAAUGCGCAGAUAUCAGGAGGAACACCGGUGGCGAAGGCGGGUCUCUGGGCCGAUACUGACGCUGAGGAGCGAAAGCGUGGGGAGCGAACAGG
rnacentral:rRNA from 1 species